GUGCCCAGGCAGGUUUGUGACCUACAUUGAUAUCCAGGCUUCCUACAGAUACAAACCCGAUCAGUGGAAUUACUUGAAGCAGUUCUGCAGACCUGGUUUUAAGAGUCCUCACAAGUCUGUUGCUCAAGCCCUACGUGAUGAAGAUUGUCCUUUGAUGAUCAUUCCAAGCAGGCCUUGUGAGUGGUUCUAUUUCUUACACACAUCUUAGCAGACUGUAAGCGUUCACAUGAAAUCACAA